UGGAAGCUCCCUGUGGAGAAGGUGUUUCCUGCCUGGGACAUCCUCCAGACUCAGCUGCCUCUACUCAGGGCUCGCAGAGGCCCAGCGAGAUCUCCACAGCCCAGGCACUUCCUCCACAGGUGGGACUGCCCACAUUAUCACACCUCGCUCUGAAGUCCCUCCUCUAACACCCUUACGAUGGAGGGCCCUGGGAACCCCAGCGCUGGGGUGUCCCGGGAGGCCAGAGGGGACAGCACGGUGAGGUCAGGGGAGGGAGACUGGCCCACCUGCCUGGGCGCUGGGGCAGGCUUGCGGAGGCCAGCAUGCCUCACAGGGCCGGAGGAGGGUGGAGCCCAGACGGGGAAGGGGCCCUCUGGUCAAGGCACAGGGGUUGGGCCUUGCUCGGACCACCCGUUACACAGGUCCUUUUCACAGCAGAUCACGUUCCACUCUUCAAAUUUAGCUUUAGAUGUGGCUAUCAAUCUCUUAAUGAACUCUGUAGGCAUCUGGCAGGAAGAGACACAGCCCCUGAUAUCCAAUUCAAUCAUGUCUGUGGGCAAAAAAUGAGGCAUCUGCGGUGGCGUCCCCUCUGACCCUCCUGGGGUUGACUGUCCUAACUCUCUCCUCUGAUGCGCUGGGCCCCCUGUUUCCCUGCUGAAAUUCCCAUCCUGUCCCACCAAGCACCACCAUCUCCCGACACAGGUGGCUGCUGGAGCUAGCCCGUCUCUGUACUGAUAAGGACACGGAGGAAGGCUGGUGCAGGGCAGGGCUCUGCCCCAGGGGACACUGCCAUUGGCCCCUUGCUUCUCUGAGGAACCCCCUCUAUCAAUCCUCCCACUCUGGAUGCCAGGGACUCACCUGCUUCCACGAUCAUGCUCAGGUUGCCCGUGUAGCAGACAGUGGAAUUUGAGUCGCAUUCACUUGUCGGGCAAUGGUUGGGAACGCUAAAUUUGCCGAGGGUCCCACAGGAGUAGCAGCGCAGGCUCUGAGCUGGGGUCAGGCAGGGACACAGGCCCAAGCUCAGAGAGCCCAAGGCCGGCUGCAGACUCCCACACAGCAGGACAGAGCUGUGUGGGAGCGUCCCUCUGGGUGACCACCUCCAUGCCCUCUGUAGAAACUGAGGCCCCUUCCCACCCUCUCAGCUCCCAGAAGGCAGACCCCGCCAUGCUCACAACCACAGCCUCUCGCAGGGCAUUGCCACCCAUCCCCUGCGGGCCAGGUCCCUGUGCCCUGGCACUCACCAAGCUCUGCGCACAACAUGAGGACCAGAAGGAUGAGAAGGGGGCCUUUCAUGACUUCUGGAGACGACACAGGCCCGUGGGCCCAUCGGGGUGCCUCCGUUUCAGGCUCUUGCCUCCCCUUCCCAAGACUAGCCCUCCCUGCCUGGCCCCCCAGCCCACCUCCC
rnacentral:lncRNA from 1 species